rnacentral:rRNA from 1 species
CGUAAACAAAGGGAAGCGAAGGGGCGACCUGGAGCAAAUCUCAAAAAUAACGUCUCAGUUCGGACUGUAGUCUGCAACCCGACUACACGAAGCUGGAAUCGCUAGUAAUCGCGAAUCAGAAUGUCGCGGUGAAUACGUUCCCGGGUCUUGUACACACCGCCCGUCACACCAUGGGAGUUGGUAAUGCCCGAAGUCGGUGACCCAACCGCAAGGAGGGAGCUGCCGAAGGCAGGACUGAUAACUGGGGUGAAGUCGUAACAAGGUAAC